UUUUCCUUCUAUGCGUGCUCUUCUCGAUCUAUACGGGCAUGGCACCGUCGGCGGAGGCAGGUCUUUUUCUCUGGCCAUCCGCCGGCCUGCUCUCCUUCCCCUCCCGAUCCGCCCCUAAUACUCUCCGGCACCACCUGCAGCCUCUUCAAUCUCGAACCUCCUGCACAUGUGCCGUGCUUCUCUGACUUGGAUCAGAGUUGGAUUUUGUGUCCUCAAUUCGAUGGAGUAGCCACCAAAUUCCGUCAAAUCGCCGUGUCAACCUCCCCGCGGCGGCCGUGCCGCCCAGGAACCCCAGCCACCGCUCCUGCUAGGCCAGGCUCCGCUGCCGAGGUCCCCCAUCGCCAUUGGAUCCCCAAGUGCCUAUCCGCCAUCUCAACGGCCUCACCCAGCGAGCUCGCCUGGACCCUGAGGUCAUUGGAGCGAGCCUCCACUAGGCCACCCGACGCGCCAAUGAUCCCGUGUGCUGCCGCUCGAGCUCCCCUGCUCGCUUCCCUCCACGCACCGCCGCCCUGGCCUAGCAGAUUAAUGGAGGGCGCGACCAACUUUGGUUCGUGCCUCGGUGCUCCUCGCCAUUCACCAGCUGCGGCAUCCAACUUCUCCACUAUGGGAGUUCAUUAUGGCAGCGUACAACCACCAAUUAAUAGAGAACAUGGGGGAAAGGAAAGGAAAUGAUGCAGCCGGUGCUACAUCGAACCAUCGACGCGGCAGACGCAGCAUACAAAUGCCCUGUAGGUGGCCGGACCUGGGGAUCUCCAUCAAGGUCGACAGCGAGUUGUAGUACUGUGUCCAGCCAACAACACCUUUUGCUUCUAUGGUUCAAUCCGCACUUCCCUUUGUCAUUCUGAAUGCGCCCUUGUUGAUUGCUAUCUGGCAUUGGCAAUGUAUUCCAACUGUUUGAUGAUUUGAGCUUGCCAUAACUUCAAUUCUAUAAAAGAGUUAUCCUCAGGAAUUUGUUUAUGGGCCACCAAUACCGCAAAAACUAUAGAACAAUGUUAUUACUGCUAAUGGAUAGAUGCACUGCAGAAAUAUGAAUAGUUUUGGUCAAAAGAAUGCAGACUGCACUUUCUUAUUAGUCUAUCACCCUCACGGUUGCUAAUGAUAUUUGUUUUGCCACCACUUUUUGUGUAACUAGGGGAGGACACUGAUCGUUUGGUUAAAAAAAGAGUGUGGAAACUCACCAUCCUUUCUCAAACAUUCUCACUCAGUCAACUGCCAAGGUAAAAUCAAUGGCCGUCUUUGAUCAGUUCAUACGGAACAAAACUCAUUUAUUUCAAAAACUGCAGGUUCAUGGUGACAAAUGGACAUACUGUUUCAGGCUUAUGACUAAGAAUUAAAAACACAGACUCAAAUUAAUUAGAUGCUCUAAUUAGAAGGUAUGCACUUGGAGGCAUUACCCGCCUUCUUACUUGGAGGCCUUCCUUGCCUUUUUCCCAUGGCAAACCAUGGCGCUUGAAAAAUAAAAUUAAACAUGCAUGGGUCUCAACUUGUAAGUGAUGUGCCGAAACCGCCACUACCUACAACCGUGCCCUCAGGAUUUCCUCGGACCAUCCUUAUCAAUUGUAGUCUCUGCUCUCCCACGUUAAGUCCCUCCUUUUAGAAACAGCUUUUCUCGAUGGUGGCCUCCCCUGGAAGCUCUUCAACCUAUGGUGUGGAGUCGGUUCCCCGUCAGAAGGAAAUGCUUGCGUUAGGUCGUUAGACUGUUAAUUGUGACCAUGUUAUUCUGUCGAGCCUUUCCAUCGAGUUGUCAAAACAAUAUCAAAGUAGAAGAUGUUAAAUAUGAAACUACCAAGUUAUGCACUCUGCUAUUGUGGUUGUGAAGCUCGUACAGUCUACUUGAUGUUCGCACAAAAUUUCCUCCAGGCAACAAGACGAUGAGUUCAGUGCAAGUCUUCAGGCUGUAGGGCUAAUCAUAGGCAAAGAAGUCUGGACUUCCGUGGGUUUUCAUGAACGAUUUUGAAAUGAAGAAUAGUUGUUAAGUUAUUAUUUUUGCUAGAAGAGUAGCGUUGCAAAAGAGUAUUGCCGGGGAAGUAACUGGAGCACAUGCUACUAUUUUUACAGGAAAGAACCUAAAUGACCCAACUUAUGCAAUCUACAGAUGUUGCUUACGAAAUCGGUAGAGCCAUGCAUCUGCAAUUAUCUAUUAGCAACAUCAGGAUAAGCGUAUUGCAACAGAAGAUUCGAGGGCGAUAACGCGAGGAAGAAAAACUGUCUGUUGCGGGAGAAGAAAUUUUUGCCCCGUAGGCUUUCAGUUUAAAAGUUUCCAUUACAUACAAUUUCACUCUGCAUAUGAUACAUUUGUUAUCACUCGGUAUUCUGCUCAAGGGGAACUGAUACUUCUGCAUAUGAGAAUUCUUAUCCUUUUGACUAUGGCAUGCCUUUUGGUCCGCCCUGGCUUAGGUAGUUUGUGUCG